UACAGAGGGGGCUAGCGUUAUUCGGAAUUAUUGGGCGUAAAGGGCGCGUAGGCGGCCAUGCGUGUCUUCCGUGAAAUCCCUCGGCUUAACUGAGGACGUGCGGAAGAAACUGCAAGGCUCGAGUCCGGGAGAGGGGGGUGGAAUUCCUGGUGUAGCGGUGAAAUGCGCAGAUAUCAGGAGGAACACCGGUGGCGAAGGCGGGUCUCUGGGCCGUAACUGACGCUGAGGCGCGAAAGCCAGGGGAGCAAACGGG
rnacentral:rRNA from 1 species